GAUGACGAACGCAGCGAAAUGCGAUACUUGGUGUGAAUUGCAGAAUCCCGUGAACCAUCGAGUCUUUGAACGCAAGUUGCGCCCGAAGCCAUUAGGCCGAGGGCACGCCUGCCUGGGCGUCACACGUCGUUGCCCCCCCAUCUACUCCUUCGGGAUUGCGGGGGGCGGAUGAUGGCCUCCCGUGCGCCUCGUCGCGCGGUUGGCAUAAAUGCCAAGUCCUCGGCGACGCACGCCACGACAAUCGGUGGUUGCGAAACCUCGGUUGCCCGUCGUGUGCGGUCGUCGCGCAUCGAGGGCUCGAAAAAAUUGCCGGGCUCCGGCUCGACUUUCAACGCGACCCCAGGUCAGGCGGGAUUACCCGCUGAAUUUAAGCAUAUCAAUAAGCGGAGGA
rnacentral:misc_RNA from 1 species